GCCCGGAAACGGAAGUCUCGUUCUUUUUCGUCCUUUUCCCCGGUUGCUGCUUGCUGUGAGUGUCUCUAGGGUGAUACGUGGGUGAGAAAGGUCCUGGUCCGCGCCAGAGCCCAGCGCGCCUCGUCGCCAUGCCUCGGAAAAUUGAGGAAAUCAAGGACUUCCUGCUCACAGCCCGACGAAAGGAUGCCAAAUGUUUGGCAGUGAAGGAACUGAAAUGAACCAGACACACUGAUUGGAACUGUAUUAUAUUAAAAUACUAAAAAUCCU
rnacentral:lncRNA from 1 species